AACGAACGCUGGCGGCAUGCCUAACACAUGCAAGUCGAACGAGACCUUCGGGUCUAGUGGCGCACGGGUGCGUAACGCGUGGGAACCUGCCCUUAGGUUCGGAAUAACUCCCCGACAGGGGUGCUAAUACCGGAUAAUGUCUUCGGACCAAAGAUUUAUCGCCUUUGGAUGGGCCCGCGUUGGAUUAGCUAGUUGGUAGGGUAAAAGCCUACCAAGGCGACGAUCCAUAGCUGGUCUGAGAGGAUGAUCAGCCACACUGGGACUGAGACACGGCCCAGACUCCUACGGGAGGCAGCAGUGGGGAAUAUUGGACAAUGGGCGAAAGCCUGAUCCAGCAAUGCCGCGUGAGUGAUGAAGGCCUUAGGGUUGUAAAGCUCUUUUACCCGGGAUGAUAAUGACAGUACCGGGAGAAUAAGCCCCGGCUAACUCCGUG
rnacentral:rRNA from 1 species